rnacentral:rRNA from 1 species
GAUGAACGCUGGCGGCGUGCCUAAUACAUGCAAGUCGAGCGAACAGACGAGGAGCUUGCUCCUCUGACGUUAGCGGCGGACGGGUGAGUAACACGUGGAUAACCUACCUAUAAGACUGGGAUAACUUCGGGAAACCGGAGCUAAUACCGGAUAAUAUAUUGAACCGCAUGGUUCAAUAGUGAAAGACGGUUUUGCUGUCACUUAUAGAUGGAUCCGCGCCGCAUUAGCUAGUUGGUAAGGUAACGGCUUACCAAGGCAACGAUGCGUAGCCGACCUGAGAGGGUGAGCGGACACACUGGAACUGAGACACGGUCCAGACUCCUACGGGAGGAAGCAGUAGGGAAUCUUCCGCAAUGGGCGAAAGCUUGACGGAGCAACGCCGCGUGAGUGAUGAAGGUCUUCGGAUCGUAAAACUCUGUUAUUAGGGAAGAACAAAUGUGUAAGUAACUAUGAACGUAUUGACGGUACCUAAUCAGAAAGCCACGGCUAACUACGUG